UACAGAGGGUGCGAGCGUUGUCCGGAAUCACUGGGCGUAAAGGGCGCGUAGGCGGCUGGGUAAGCCGCGUGUGAAAUCCCGGGGCUCAACCCCGGAAUGGCAUGCGGGACUGUCCGGCUCGAGCAUGGUAGAGGCGAGUGGAAUUCCUGGUGUAGCGGUGGAAUGCGUAGAGAUCAGGAAGAACACCGGAGGCGAAGGCGGCUCGCUGGGCCAUUGCUGACGCUGAGGCGCGAAAGCGUGGGGAGCAAACAGG
rnacentral:rRNA from 1 species